rnacentral:rRNA from 1 species
AACGAACGCUGGCGGCAUGCCUAACACAUGCAAGUCGAACGAAGCCUUCGGGCUUAGUGGCGGACGGGUGAGUAACGCGUGGGAACAUACCCAAAGGUACGGAAUAGCCUCGGGAAACUGGGAGUAAUACCGUAUGUGCUCGAAAGAGGAAAGUUUUAUCGCCUUUGGAUUGGCCCGCGUGGGAUUAGGUAGUUGGUGGGGUAAUGGCCUACCAAGCCGACGAUCCAUAGCUGGUUUGAGGGGAUGAUCAGCCAAACUGGGACUGAGACACGGCCCAGACUCCUACGGGCGGCAGCAGUGGGGAAUCUUAGACAAUGGGGGAAACCGUGAGCUAGCCAUACCGCGUGAUCCAGGAGGGCCUUAGGGUUGUAAAGAUCUUACAGGGGGGAAAAUAAUAACGUUACCACCGGAAGAAGCCCCGGCUAACACCGUGCCAGCCGCCGCGUUAA